rnacentral:lncRNA from 1 species
CUUUCCUGUAGUUUCCUGAUAAAAGGUCCUUUUGAAACAUUCAUUCUCUUCUCACCAAGUUGAACGGAGAUGUGUUCCCAUAGUAAGAGUGAGGCCCCUGCAUUUGCUGCCCUCGGUUUUUCCAACCAACACCAUGGCCUCCCCCCGUACCCCAUUCAUACGCCUCAGAAGCUGACAAUGACUGUUGGGCUUUUCCAAUGAAUACCAGAACACCAUUUCCUGCAGCCUGAAAAGAAGACAGUAUAAUUAUUUGGCAGCAAGAGAAACCAGGUGCCCUACCAUGAGAAACCCAAGCCAUGUGGAGAAGCCACAUCUAGGGACUCCAGUUAACACUCUCAGCUGAGUUCCCAGCUGACAGUCAGCAUCAACUGCCAGCCACCUCUGCCUAAAAGUGGGCCAUCUUGGGCAUCCGGCCCAGUCAAGCCUUCAGAUGAGUCCAGUCCCAGCUACUAUCUCACACAACCACACGAGAGACAUCAAGAACUCCCAGUGGAGUCCAGUCAGCCCAUGGAACUGUAAGAGACAGGAUCUCACUGUGUUGCUCAGACUGGUCUCGAACUCCUGGGCUUAAGGGAUUAUCCUGCCUCAAUCACAGUCUCCCAAGUAGCUGAGAUUACAAGUGCUCACCACCGUGCCAGCCAGUUCAGUUUUUGAGGGUGGAGCCAAGACUCUGAGGAGAGGGCUGAACUGUGAACCUAGAAGUACCAUCUCCCCCUGCACACGCCUUUGGUCAAGUUGACCCCAAGAAGAAGGACAAGUCCUCUGCACACCGAUGACACCAUACACACAGUCUGUGGCCCGGCUUUGGGAGACUGAUGGGACAAAGGAUGCUUUGCAUGAUCCUUGGUCUCUGAGCAAAUAUAUACGUGGGUUAACA